GACGAACGCUGGCGGCGUGCCUAAUACAUGCAAGUCGAACGCACUCUCGUUUAGAUUGAAGGAGUUUGCUCCUGAUUGAUAAACAUUUGAGUGAGUGGCGGACGGGUGAGUAACACGUGGGUAACCUGCCCUAAAGUGGGGGAUAACAUUUGGAAACAGAUGCUAAUACCGCAUAAAACCUAACACCGCAUGGUGUAGGGUUGAAAGAUGGUUUCGGCUAUCACUUUAGGAUGGACCCGCGGUGCAUUAGUUAGUUGGUGAGGUAAAGGCUCACCAAGACCGUGAUGCAUAGCCGACCUGAGAGGGUAAUCGGCCACACUGGGACUGAGACACGGCCCAGACUCCUACGGGAGGCAGCAGUAGGGAAUCUUCCACAAAGGACGAAAGUCUGAUGGAGCAACGCCGCGUGAGUGAAGAAGGUUUUCGGAUCGUAAAACUCUGUUGUUGGAGAAGAAUGUAUCUGAUAGUAACUGAUCAGGUAGUGACGGUAUCCAACCAGAAAGCCACGGCUAACUACGUG
rnacentral:rRNA from 1 species